AUGCUGGCUUUGGUAGCACAUACACUAAAAUUGGAGCAAUACAGAGAAGACUAGUGUGGCCCCUGCACAAGGAUGACAUGCACAUUCACGAAGCGUUCCAUAUUGAA